rnacentral:rRNA from 1 species
GAUCGUGAGCUGGGUUUAGACCGUCGUGAGACAGGUUAGUUUUACCCUACUGGCCCCGGGGCCAGAGCACGGCGGGCCAGUACGAGAGGAACGCCCGCCGCGGGCCGCCAGCCCCGCGGUUGCCCGGCCGGGCAGCGCCGCGCCGCCGCGCCCGGGGGCCCUGCGCUGACCGCCUCUAAGCGCGCACCCCGCCUCGCGCCCCGCCCGGCCGCGCGCCCCAGCCCCGUGCCCCGUCGCCGAGCGGCCGCCGCCCGGGGAGACCACCCGGCGCGGCGCUCCUGUACGGCGCAGAGCCCUGCGAUCGCCUGAGGGACGCGCCUGCAGAGCGCGGGGCGGGGCGCGCGAUUCACUUGCUCUGGGGGGGCGUGCAUAGGCCAGACAGGCAGGCGCGGAAAGAGAAGAUUGAUGCAGCGCGGGGGACCGAGGGGUAGCCGGAGGGCAGUGCGCGCCCACCACCGGGUCUGCCCUGCACAGAGGGACACCGGCACGCGCAGGGGGCCCGCGUGUGCUGCACAGCGCCGCAGGGAGGCCCGGGGGAGACG